CAGUAGCCGCGGUAAUACGAAGGGGGCUAGCGUUGCUCGGAAUGACUGGGCGUAAAGGGCGCGUAGGCGGCGAUCAAAGUCAGGCGUGAAAUUCCUGGGCUCAACCUGGGGGCUGCGCUUGAUACUUGGUUGCUUGAGUGGGGAAGAGGGUCGUGGAAUUCCCAGUGUAGAGGUGAAAUUCGUAGAGAUCGGAAGGAACAUCUGUGGCGAAGGCGACUAUCUGGGCCAACACUGACACUGAGACACGAAAGCGUGGGGAGCAAACAGGAUUAGAUACCCCAGUAGUCCCUGUCUCUUAUAC
rnacentral:rRNA from 1 species